rnacentral:lncRNA from 1 species
GCGGCACCACAGCUGCUCACAGUGAGACUGUUGGAGUUUGACUACACAGAAAUAUGACCUCAAUGAGUCCUUGUAGUGGAUGUUGGUGACAGUUGAUCUAUUAUAAAAACAGGAUGAGCAUCUAGAUGAGAUCUAUUGAUCUUAGUAGAAAGGAGUAGUCCUAUGUGAUUUAUGAGAUUGAGUUCAGAAGUUCUUGACCAAGAUAGUGUGAUUAGUGAAAAGGAGUUUC